UUGAACGCUGGCGGCAGGCCUAACACAUGCAAGUCGAGCGGAAACGAGUUAUCUGAACCUUCGGGGAACGAUAACGGCGUCGAGCGGCGGACGGGUGAGUAAUGCCUAGGAAAUUGCCCUGAUGUGGGGGAUAACCAUUGGAAACGAUGGCUAAUACCGCAUGAUGCCUACGGGCCAAAGAGGGGGACCUUCGGGCCUCUCGCGUCAGGAUAUGCCUAGGUGGGAUUAGCUAGUUGGUGAGGUAAGGGCUCACCAAGGCGACGAUCCCUAGCUGGUCUGAGAGGAUGAUCAGCCACACUGGAACUGAGACACGGUCCAGACUCCUACGGGAGGCAGCAGUGGGGAAUAUUGCACAAUGGGCGCAAGCCUGAUGCAGCCAUGCCGCGUGUGUGAAGAAGGCCUUCGGGUUGUAAAGCACUUUCAGUCGUGAGGAAGGUAGUGUAGUUAAUAGCUGCAUUAUUUGACGUUAGCGACAGAAGAAGCACCGGCUAACUCCGUGCCAGCAGCCGCGGUAAUACGGAGGGUGCGAGCGUUAAUCGGAAUUACUGGGCGUAAAGCGCAUGCAGGUGGUUUGUUAAGUCAGAUGUGAAAGCCCGGGGCUCAACCUCGGAAUAGCAUUUGAAACUGGCAGACUAGAGUACUGUAGAGGGGGGUAGAAUUUCAGGUGUAGCGGUGAAAUGCGUAGAGAUCUGAAGGAAUACCGGUGGCGAAGGCGGCCCCCUGGACAGAUACUGACACUCAGAUGCGAAAGCGUGGGGAGCAAACAGGAUUAGAUACCCUGGUAGUCCACGCCGUAAACGAUGUCUACUUGGAGGUUGUGGCCUUGAGCCGUGGCUUUCGGAGCUAACGCGUUAAGUAGACCGCCUGGGGAGUACGGUCGCAAGAUUAAAACUCAAAUGAAUUGACGGGGGCCCGCACAAGCGGUGGAGCAUGUGGUUUAAUUCGAUGCAACGCGAAGAACCUUACCUACUCUUGACAUCCAGAGAACUUUCCAGAGAUGGAUUGGUGCCUUCGGGAACUCUGAGACAGGUGCUGCAUGGCUGUCGUCAGCUCGUGUUGUGAAAUGUUGGGUUAAGUCCCGCAACGAGCGCAACCCUUAUCCUUGUUUGCCAGCGAGUAAUGUCGGGAACUCCAGGGAGACUGCCGGUGAUAAACCGGAGGAAGGUGGGGACGACGUCAAGUCAUCAUGGCCCUUACGAGUAGGGCUACACACGUGCUACAAUGGCGCAUACAGAGGGCGGCCAACUUGCGAAAGUGAGCGAAUCCCAAAAAGUGCGUCGUAGUCCGGAUUGGAGUCUGCAACUCGACUCCAUGAAGUCGGAAUCGCUAGUAAUCGUGGAUCAGAAUGCCACGGUGAAUACGUUCCCGGGCCUUGUACACACCGCCCGUCACACCAUGGGAGUGGGCUGCAAAAGAAGUAGGUAGUUUAACCUUCGGGGGGACGCUUACCACUUUGUGGUUCAUGACUGGGGUGAA
rnacentral:rRNA from 1 species